GACGUAGGGUGCGAGCGUUGUCCGGAUUUAUUGGGCGUAAAGAGCUCGUAGGCGGCUCGUCGCGUCGACCGUGAAAACCCGCAGCUUAACUGCGGGCUUGCGGUUGAUACGGGCGGGCUAGAGUUCGGUAGGGGAGACUGGAAUUCCUGGUGUAGCGGUGAAAUGCGCAGAUAUCAGGAGGAACACCGGUGGCGAAGGCGGGUCUCUGAGCCGAUACUGACGCUGAGGAGCGAAAGCGUGGGGAGCGAACAGG
rnacentral:rRNA from 1 species